UACAGAGGUCCCAAGCGUUGUUCGGAUUCACUGGGCGUAAAGGGUGCGUAGGCGGUCGGGUAAGUCUGAUGUGAAAUCUCGGGGCCUAACCCCGAAACUGCAUUGGAUACUAUUCGGCUAGAGGAAUGGAGGGGAGACUGGAAUGCUCGGUGUAGCAGUGAAAUGCGUAGAUAUCGAGCGGAACACCAGUGGCGAAGGCGAGUCUCUGGACAUUUCCUGACGCUGAGGCACGAAAGCCAGGGGAGCAAACGGG
rnacentral:rRNA from 1 species